GUCGUCAGCUCGUGUCGUGAGAUGUUGGGUUAAGUCCCGCAACGAGCGCAACCCUUAUUAUCAGUUGCCAGCAUUAAGUUGGGCACUCUGGUGAGACUGCCGGUGACAAACCGGAGGAAGGUGGGGAUGACGUCAAAUCAUCAUGCCCCUUAUGACCUGGGCUACACACGUGCUACAAUGGAUGGUACAACGAGUUGCGAACUCGCGAGAGUAAGCUAAUCUCUUAAAGCCAUUCUCAGUUCGGAUUGUAGGCUGCAACUCGCCUACAUGAAGUCGGAAUCGCUAGUAAUCGCGGAUCAGCAUGCCGCGGUGAAUACGUUCCCGGGCCUUAUACACACCGCCCGUCACACCAUGAGAGUUUGUAACACCCAAAGUCGGUGGGGUAACCUUUUAGGAACCAGCCGCCUAAGGUGGGACAGAUGAUUAGGGUGAAGUCGUAACAAGGUAGCCGUAGGAGAACCUGCGGCUGGAUCACCUCCUUUCUAAGGAA
rnacentral:rRNA from 1 species